UCGCCUGUUUUUCAAAAACAUCGUUGGAAAAUUAACUUUCAAUAAAAUCUGCCCAGUGGUAUCUUAACGGCCGCAGUAUUUUAACUGUGCUAAGGUAGCAUAAUCAUUUGCUUUUUAAUUCAAAGCUCGUAUAAACGAUUCGACGAGAAAUUAACUUUCUUUAAAUAAUUAUUAACUUACUUUUAGAGUAAAAAAGCUCUUUCUAUUCAAUUAGACGACAAGACCCUACAAAACUUUACUUAAAAGUGAACAACUUUUUUAUAUCUUUAUAUUCUAUAUUUAAGUUUUACUGGGGCGGUAAAUUUUAAAUUUAUAAACAAACUCUUAAUUAAACAAAUUAUUUGACCUUUAUAAACACUUUACGUAAUUAACACCAAGUUACUUUAGGGAUAACAGCGCAAUAUCUUUUUAGAGCUCCUAUCGACAAAGAUGAUUACGACCUCGAUGUUGAAUUGAAUAACCUAAGUAGAGCAAAAAUUACUAAAGGCAAGUCUGUUCGACUUAUAAAUUUUUACAUGAUUUGAGUCCAAACCGGA
rnacentral:rRNA from 1 species